rnacentral:lncRNA from 1 species
CAGAAAUAAGUCCAUGUCUUUUUUAGGAUCUGAAUUACAAAUUGUUCCUCAUCCUUCUAGUGACAUUGAUUUGAUUACAUAUCGUAAACUGUCUACCAGGAUUUUUAUUGUUAGUUUAAAAUGAAAUAAGAGUUUAAGCAUCAGAAUGCCAGUGGUAGAUAUUUGCAUAAGUGAUUCCAUUUGGAAUGAUAUACUGAUACUGUUUAUUUUUUGGCAGGAGGCUCUCAACACACAAGAGGUGAACUUUAAGUCCGAAGCAUAUUUAAUGCAGAUUUUCCAUAGGAAGGAUCAUUUGCAUUAUGUGAAAUUGUCUUUCACUUUACUUGAACCAAACCAAGACAAAUGUGUCAGGUAUUUUGUGCCAGCAGUAAGAAAUCUGACUAAUACAACUAUUAUAUAUUGUGAAAUAGAAUGGAAACUUAGUUCUCACAGUUCUGGAGGCUGGGAUGUUCAAGGUCAGUGACACUGUUUGAUUUCUGUUAAAGGCCUUCUUGGCAUGACUUCAUAUGGCAGAAGGGAUGUGUCUUAGUUACUUUCUCAUUGCUGGGACAAAAUACCAGAUACUUACAAGUUAAAGAGGGAAAGGUUUAUUUUAGUUCACAGUUUGUAGAGGUUUCAGUCCAUAGUUGGCUAAGUCCAAGGCAGGGCAGCAUGGCAGAGGAGAAACAGUUCAUGGCAUGGUAGGCAGGAGACAGCAAGACUUUAUUUUUUAUUCCCUUUGUAUUCUCUCCAGGCUAAAAGCCUAUUGGUUAGUGCCAUCCACACCCAAAAUGAGUUUUCUAUCUCCAGUAAAUCCAUUACCCAUACCUAUAACUAUGCUAAACCAAUCAGUGGACUAACCUAGUAUCAUAUACCUGUGAUGCAGUACCACACACUCAUGACCCAGGAACUCCCAAAAGCUUCACCUGUGAGAGCAUGAGGCUUUGAGGGAGCAUCUAGAUAUAAAUAAUAACAGAAUGAAUGCUGUGUCCUCACAUAGCAGAAGGUGGAAGGGUAAAAAGGGCCCAAUGGUCCCCAAGGCUUCUUUUAUAAGGGAAUUAAUCCUAUUCACAAAGAAGGAUCCAUAAUGACCUAUUAAUCUCCUAAGGGCUCUACUUGUUCAUACUUCUACAUUGGAGGUUAAAUUUCAGCAUGAAUUUUAGAGGAACAUAUUAAAAACUAUAGCAUUCCCUGUCUUAGUCACUUUCCUGCCACUGAGACAAAGUACCUGACACCCACAACUUAAAGGAGGAGAGGGUGUGUUUUGGAUCAUGGUUUCAGUCCAUGGCCAGCUGGUUCCAAGGCAGAAAUAACAGGGUGAUAGGGAGUAGGAGAAUAAAGCUGCUCACCUCGUGGCAUUCAGGAUGCAGAGCGAGAAGAAAGAGCCAGAGACAAGGAUGAUAACUUUUCCAGGCCACACCCACAGUGAACCACCUUCUACCAGCCCCACCUCUUAACAAUACAUUGAGCUUCUGAACUCAUGAAUGAAUCCGUCCACUGUUGAGAAUAGCACCCCUGUAAUCCAGGCAUUCUUCAAACACAUGAAACUUUUGAGGGAGAUUUUCGAGCUAAAUUAUAACACUCCCUAAAUUCAUCUAUAGAUUCAACACAAUCCUUGCUAAAAUGUUGGGUGUUUUUGCAGAAAUUAACAAACUGACUUUUGUGGUUUGUAUCUAGAUGUCCCCCCAAAGCCUCAGGCAUUCACAGGUGGGGCUUUUUGGAGCUGGCUGGAUCUAGGGAGUGUGGUACUGGGAUCAAGGGUGUGUGGAUAAUGGGAAGGCCCACUCUGGGUGUGAGAGGUACCACCCAAAAGGCUUUACCCUGGAUAGGAUAAAAGGGAAAGGGAGGCUUGCUUUACUGCUGCUGCUGCUGGUGCUGCUGUUGGUGCUUGCUACCUUCUGCCUGAUCUGCCAUGCCAUGAGCUUUCUCGUCUGUGAUGCCUCCCUGCCAUGCCAUCCUACCUUGGAGCUAGCUCACUGAGGAUUAAAACCUCUACAAAAUGCGAACUGAAAAAAACCAUUCCUCCUUUAACUAUGGUGUUGGGUAUUUUGUCUCAGCAGUGAGAAAAUUAACUAAGACAUUGACCUUAAAAUUCAUACAGAAAUGCAAAAAAAUUAGAAUAGCCAAAUACUGAAAAAGAGCAUAGUCGGAGGAAUCAAUCUUCCCAAUUUCAAAACUUACUACAAAGCUACAGUGAUCAAAGAAAUUUGGUACCAGUACAAGGAAAAACAUAUUAGAUCAAUGGAAUAGAACUAGAAGCUCUGAAAUAAACUCUUAUAUUUAUAACCCAUUGACUUUUUUUUUUUUUUUGGUACCGAGGAUCGAACUUGGGACCUUGCAUUUGUGAAGCAGGCAGCGGAACCACUGAGCUAAAUCCCUGACCCUCCAUUGACCUUUUACAAGGGUGUCAAGCCCAUUCAAUGGAAAAAGUCUCAUCAAUAAACUGUGCUAGAACAACUGGCUAUCACUUGAAAAAUUAUAAAUGCAGACCCCUACAUCACUCUAUGUAUAAAAUUUGACUCAAAAAAGAAAAUGUGAGUAAAUCUUAUAUUUUUGAGGAAGGAUAUGGCUUUUUAGAUAUAAUACCAAAAGCAUAGUGAAAAAGAAAAUAAAUAUUAUUAAAAUUAAAUACUUUUUGCUUAAAUUUUUGUCAUUAACACAAUGAAAAUACAAAGCAUAGAAUAGAAAAAAUAUUUAAGAAUCAUAUAUGUUAAUAUUUAAUAUUCAGAAUAUAAAAAGAACAUUUGCAAUUCAAUUGCCAGAGGACUUUUAUCCAAGAAAGAUAUAUAAAUAGCCACAAAUAUAUGAAAGGAUACUCCACAACGUGAUUCAUUAGGGAAAAGCAAAUAAAAAUCAGAAUAAAAUAUCAUUUCACAUGCACUAAGAUUGUGAAGAUAGAAAAGACGUUGACAAGGAUGUAGAGAAAUUAGAGCCCUCAUACAUUGCUGCAGGACUGGAAAAUGGCUGCUGCAACUUGGCAAGUUCUUAACAAUAUUAAAUCUAGACUCAUCAGGUAAUCUAAUGGUUCCCCUUCUAAGUAUGUACCUGAAAGAAAAAUAUAUGUCUAUUCAAAAGCUUGAACAAGAAGGAUCAUAGCAGCCUCCUUCAUAUUAACAAAAAAGUGAAAACUAAAUAUACACAAACUGAGCAGGUUACAUUUGCUCUAUCUGUGCAAUAGAAUAUUAUUUAAUAACCAAAAGGAACCGUGUACUGUGUGCCUCAACAUGGGUGAAACUUGAAAGCAUUAAAAGAAGAUAUUCUCAAAAGGCUACAUAUUGUUUGAUUCUAUUGAUAUGAAAUUCUUAGACAUAAAAAGUAGGUUGGUGGUUGCUAGGGACCAGGUAGGUGGGAAUAUAGAGUAAUAGCUAAUGUAGAAAAAGGUUAUCUUGAGGAUAAUGAAAAUAUUUUAAAAUUAGAAAAUUUUAAUGGUUAUGAAACUGCAAAUCUAUUAAAAACCACUGAAAUUUACACAUUAAAGUGAAUUUUUUAGAAUGUGAACUAUAUCUCAAUACAUCUGUUAUAAUACUGGUUAUAUUAUUUUAAAAAACCCCA